CCACCGACAGCCACAGGGUGAUACCACCUCCACCAUCUGACUCCAACAGUAAUCGAGUUCUUCUCUAGGACAUUCCACUUUGAUUUGGGCUUUAUAUGGGAUUUAAAGUGUUUGAAUUAGGGUACACAAACAAAUUGCAGAUUAGUUCUCUCAUAUAUACCAGUUCUCUCUCUUCCCCAAAAUUAGGAAAUCGCAAAAUCUCCCUCUCUCUCCCCCAAUGGAUCGCUCUCUCUAGAACUCCUCUUGUUGAAGAGCAUAUUUACAGAUCAAAGUCCUAAAUGAAGAAGGUCCAUUUGAAAACUGGGCAUUCUAGUUUUGGAUCGAGCUUGUCAAUUGCACUUGCAGCUUCCUAAUGUGCUAUUUAUAUAGCUAGGAUGGAUGGCAAUUUGUCGAGUUUGUCAACGGUAGCUUCCUAAUGGCAAUUUGUCAACGGUAGCAUUUCCAUAGUUUUGGGCUUGUUAUGGGCUAUGAAGCUCUGACUGGCUGUUGCAAAGUCGUAGCAGUGUAACACAUGACGGACGCAAAUCACACCCCAAACACGUUAGGAUACCAUGGCAUUUGCCACAUGGCGUAUUUAACUUAUUCGUAGUGACUUGUAUCAUUAGACCAGUUAUAGAGACAAGUUUGGACAUGUCUGUCCUAUAUCCAACUGCAUUUCAGGACGCAUUAGCAACAAUUAUUGUUGAUAUUAGCAGUAAUAAAAGAAAAGAAAUAAAAACAC